GAGUUUAGAGGAAGCGGAAGUGUUAGUGCAGGCGGAAGUGGUACUGCCCUGAAAAUCCCGAGCAGCGAACGGAGGACAGCUUGGUACUUCCAUCGUUUAGAGAAAAAGCAGGAUUCAAAAUACAAGCUAAAUCCUCAACAUGGACAAGAACGACCUGGUACAGAAGGCUAAGCUGGCCGAGCAGGCCGAACGCUAUGACGACAUGGCGGCGGCGAUGAAAGCGGUGACGGAGCAGGGCGGCGAGCUCUCCAACGAGGAGCGCAACCUGCUGUCGGUGGCCUACAAGAAUGUGGUGGGGGCGCGUCGCUCCUCCUGGCGCGUUAUCUCCAGCAUCGAGCAGAAGACCGAGGGCAACGAGAAGAAGCAGCUGAUGGCCCGUGAAUACCGCGAGAAGAUUGAGGCCGAGCUGCAGGACAUCUGCAAGGAUGUGCUGGCACUCCUCGACAAUUACCUCAUUGCCAAUGCGACUCAGGCAGAAAGCAAGGUGUUCUACCUUAAAAUGAAAGGUGACUACUACAGAUAUCUGUCCGAGGUGGCAUCUGGAGACUCAAAAAAGACCACAGUGGAGAACUCCCAGCAGGCCUACCAGGAGGCAUUUGACAUCAGCAAGAAGGACAUGCAGCCGACACACCCCAUCAGGCUGGGCCUCGCUCUCAACUUUUCCGUCUUCUAUUACGAGAUCCUCAACUCCCCCGAGCAGGCCUGCAGUUUGGCGAAGGCGGUGGGGCACCGUUAUACACUCACACACGUUACACCAUCACACUGCAGUGACUGCGUGAUACAGAAGGAGCCCUUUUUGGCCUCCGAAUCAAUACGGAGUGCAAACACGCCCCUCCUGCUCAGCUUUUUUACACAAACCUGCUCGUUAACACCGGUGCUUGUGCUGUUGGCAUUUGCCAAAUAUUUAAAUGAAAAAUAGACUGUUGACUGUUGUGAUGGUGCUUUGUCAUCUGGAGUACCAAGCUUUGUCAAUUAGUAAAGUGUUUUGGAGGCAUUUUAUGCUGUGGUAUUCUGGGCCUUAUAAAACAUGUUUUGUUUACCCCCUUCCAUAUACCUAUUUUCCCUAUAGGCUUUCGACGAAGCGAUCGCCGAACUUGACACCUUGAACGAGGACUCUUACAAAGACAGCACCUUGAUCAUGCAGCUACUAAGGGACAAUCUCACUCUGUGGACAUCAGAAAACCAGGGUGAUGAGGGGGAUGCCGGCGAAGGGGAGAACUAAAGGCGUUGCACAUCACUGUUAAUCCACCCACACUCUUUUUUUCUCUUAUUUUACACAUAUACAGCCCAUACAUCCCUGCUCCAUCCAGCCCCCUCCCUUUCUGUAUGACAAGCAGCAUGAAUUGUACCUGACCUACCAGUUGUGCCCUUUCUCAGAUAUGCUCAGUUGUUAACAAGCAGAGUAUUGUUUUGUGAGGAUAAAAGAAAAAUACAUUUACCCGGUUGAGUGGCAAGGCCAUUCACCCCCCCCCCCCCCCUUUGAUUCUCUCCUAACAUUUCAUAAAGAUAUGUUCUUUCACCUAGCAAGAUAUGCAUUUUAGUAUCCUUUUUUGCUUUGCUAGUGUACUGGCGAUUGCUGGUUUUUAUUCAAAAAGGUCAUUAAACUGUCUGUUUAUUUUCAACAAACACUGUGAUGCUUAGUUUUUCUCCACAUAAUCACAAGUUCUGGUCGCUAAAAUUCAGUACUGUAUGUAGCAGUGCAAUUCUGCUGUGGCCUCAUAGAGAAUGGUAGAAGAGGUUGUAUUGUGACACUGACUAACAUGCAUAUUGCUGUGUAUUGUAAAUUUUAUUUUGGAUCUGGAACUAAAAUGAAUACAAGGGACCCUAGGUUUUGCCAUUCAAUGUAUGUCCAGCUGAAAAGAAAAAAAACAUUCCAUUAGAACCUAACAUUAAAGGUAGACUCAGCAAAAUAACGUUGCAGCACUGCAGGUAUUGAGAUGAGCAAGACUUUGGUCUUACACGGUCACACAGUAUCUGUGCAUGCGCACAGGUUUUCUUCACAUUGUUAGUGUGGUAGGUACGAGACCAAAACAGAGUGAAAGUUGAGCUCCCACUUCAGCGCUCUUAGUUGCGGAAAUAGACCCACUAUGCUGUUUACUUUCUGCAUCGACGUCAUGUCGCUGAGUCUAUCUUCAAGAUGUUAUACAGUUUUUGAUCAAACGGGAGCAUUCUCCUAAUGGUAUGUACUAGAACAGUUGACAAGAAGGUGCUGUUUGACAUUAGUAUAAUGAUACUAUUUUGUUCUUGAAUGUUACUUUUUUGCUUUGCGUAAUAGUGACUUGCACAUUGGUUCAAAACUGUAAAUUGUAAACACUUUUAAAAUACAUUUGAAAUCUGUCUUAAAUUUUGUUAACCUGCUUGCAAAGAAACACCUUAAAGCUGUUUUACGUUGAACUUUUACAUAUUGGUUAUUAAAGCCUUUCUUGAAGGCCUUAUGCUGACAGUCCAAACUGACCAGUCAAAAGUUUAGAUUUCAUAAAGGAAGCAGUAAGAGAAUGCAUGCUCUUGCCCACGAAGAGUGUGUAAGCAAGUCCCCUUAUGUAAAUUGUGUCAGUCAGAGAUGGCAUUGAUGCUUUUGUUUUGUGUAUCUCCAGACUUAAGGGUCUAUCAGAGGAGAACAUAUUGUAGUGGAAUGCGGUCAGUGGAUGGGUUAGAUUCUGGAGUAGUGCAAGGAACUUGAAGAAGUAGCUGAAUUCACUCAGUGUCACAAUACUUUGUCAUCACCAUAACAUUCCACUUAGGUGUUGAAUUCAUCUGGUUCAGUCUUGCUGAAGACAAUGUUUCAUGCACUGAAAAAAAUCUCCCCGUUAGCUGAAUAAAUGGCAGUUAUUCUACGCUUAAUUUAAAAAAUGCAGUAGUGAAUGUGGAACCGAGCCUGUCUGUAUAUCUGGUAUCUCCAAUUGCUUUGUUUUUACUGACCAGUAUUCUGCCUAAAGUUUGCUUCUGUGAUGGUUUAUAUUGCUUAGCGCGCACGUGGUUGUGAAAAUUUAGAAUAGCAUUAAAACAAAAAUACACAAAAAAAACAACCCCUGGUUAUUGAUGUAAUACUAGAUUUGUAUGUCUUUUAAAACAGUUCUAGUUUCACCCUACAUGUUAUCAGGAAAAUGUAAAAGACAAUUUAAAGUGAAAUAAAAGUUUUAUCAGUU